GGGGCAGGGUUAGAGGUUAGAGGUUAGGUUCUAUACUAACUUGAUCUUGAUGAUGUCCAGUGGGGCAGGGUUAGAGGUUAGAGGUUAGGGUUUAGGUUCUAUACUAACUUGAUCUUGAUGAUGACCAGUGGGGCAGGGUUAGAGGUUAGAGGUUAGGGUUUAGGUUCUAUACUAACUUGAUCUUGAUGAUGUCCAUGCCAGUGACAGUCAGACUAACAUGAU